rnacentral:rRNA from 1 species
CACGUAGGGUGCGAGCGUUGUCCGGAAUUAUUGGGCGUAAAGAGCUCGUAGGCGGUCUGUCGCGUCGGAUGUGAAAUCCCAGGGCUCAACCCUGGGCCUGCAUUCGAUACGGGCAGACUAGAGUUCGGUAGGGGAGACUGGAAUUCCUGGUGUAGCGGUGAAAUGCGCAGAUAUCAGGAGGAACACCGGUGGCGAAGGCGGGUCUCUGGGCCGAAACUGACGCUGAGGAGCGAAAGCGUGGGGAGCAAACAGG